GCCGACGCCCUGGCCGCCACCGUGCGCCGUGCCAGCGAGGUGUUUGCGGGCGGCCGCUACCCCGAGAUGGUGGCCAACUGCAUCAGCCAGGACCUGUCCUGGUCCAAGCCCGCCCAGAAGUGGGAGGGCCUGCUGGAGGAGGUGGUGUACGGCAAGGGCGGCGUGGCCACCGCCAAGAAGGAGGAGAUCAAGGUGCCCGUUGCCGAGAAGAUCCCCGGCGACCUGCCCGCCGUGUCCUACGCCCCCAACACCCUGAAGCCCGUGUCCGCCUCCGUGGAGGGCAACGGCGCCGCCGCGCCCAAGGUCGGCACCACCGCCCCCGCCAUGGGCGCGUGGCGCGCGACCACCCCCUCGGGCCCCUCGCCCGCCGCCGCCACCCCCAAGGUGACCACCUACAAGCCCGCCCUGCCCGCCACCGCCAAGCCCAAGACCGCUGGCCUCAAGCUGGCCGGUGAGGCCUCCACCACCUCGACCUCGGAGAACGGCGCUGCCUCCAACGGCAACGGCAACGGUGCCUCGGCCUCCAAGACCUCGGCUGCCAAGCCCCUGGUCUCCGCCGCCACCCGC
rnacentral:lncRNA from 1 species